UCCCGUUCCAUUUGUUCCCACAGGGAGCCCCCAGAGCGCAGUGCUGGGUCCCGCCAAGUGGAGCGCUCCGGUUCAGAGGCGGUGUGUGCUCAGUCCCGAGGGCCGAGCGGUGCCAGGCGCGGUGAGGGCAGGCAGAGACCCCCGAGGCACCCCCGGAAAGGCACCUUGGUGCUGGCACUGCCAGGGAAUGAUUCACUGCUUGUUUUCCACUGAUUUAUUGCUUGGGAAAGAACCGACCGCUCUGCUCAUCAUCUGCUCACCAUCCAAGGUGAGCUGCAAUGAAAAUAACUGGAAUUUCUCAUUUUAAUUGCAGAGAUGUGGUGGCCUCAGGCUUCCAUGUGGCGGUUUUGGUACCAUGGAUCGCAGGGGAUCUCAACAGCUGGUUGUGUCACUAGAUGGCCUUCCAGACCAAAUACAAACACCACUGCACUCGGGCAAGGAGGAUCCUGCUUUGUGCACAGGGCAAGCAAAAAGCUGGAAAAGGAUAUUUCUGCAAUAGAUAAGAAGAAGGACCUGUAAUACUUAACACAGUGUCAUAUAACUCAAAUUAUAACAAUAAAAAAGCGGUCAAAUUCACACCAAUUUAAAAUUCACCAUUUUCCUAUGGAAAAAGUUGAUGCAAGCACAUAGAAAUUGUCAAAAAAUGGUAUAUGAGCCACAGUCUUAUAAAUCUUAUCUGGAACACAGGAAAAUCAUCAGCUCCUUUCCAGUGUGAUGGCUGAGAGCAUUCCAAUGGCACAGGAAUGGAUGGGCCAGGAAAGAAUUUGUUUUAUCCUGACAUGAUUUAUUUGAACCUGGCUCAAACCCAGUAUCACACUAUGACACAAUCAGCAGCUAGAGUUAACAGUCAUCCUGUAACUGAAGAAUUCAGGGAGGUUUUUUCAAGUCAACUAUUUCCAUAAAAAGGGGAUUUUGGGGGGGAUAAAAGUAUUUUGUGGUUCAUAAUUAAUUUCUGAAGUUUUGCUUUUUCUUUUUUUUUCUUUUUUUUUUCCAAGUCUUACAGAACAGUCUUUACAUUUCUCACAGCUCUGUCUCCUUGUACAUUCUAUAUUUAAAGAAACUUUUAGAUUUGUACAUCUUUAGAUUUGGGAUGAAACAACAAAAAAUAAGCAGAUCACAAAUACAACUGUAAACACUGCAAAGACUGUUUUUAAGUAAUGGAUGUUCUACUUGUAAUGAGUCAUUUUAUUAUGGAUGAAAUACAACAUUUCAGUGUCUCAGGUACUUAAUUUUAAUUAGCAGCUAUGCAUUGUUUUAGGCAUAUCAUUUGGGUUGGGCAAAAGCUGAGCCUAUUUUGCUGACUCCAAACAAAGCAAAAUCUGAAAUGGAAUUGUGACAUUGAUUUAAAUGGAAGAAGAUUCAGCCCUCUAUUACUGAAAUUCAAAUAUGAUCAUUACUAAUUGCAAGUGUCCUUCUCUAGCUCAGUUUUGGCCUGUAUAUUGAUUUUGGCACAAGUUUUUUCAUCAAAAGCUUACACAUCUGCAGCUCAGGGGUCAAUGUGUGUGUGGAGUUUCUCAGUGAGCACAACCAAGCCAGGGUAUUAGUGGGGUCUGGAGAAUAUCUGUGCUUCAAUCCUGGUGCCAAUUUGUUGCUUCAUGAUCACCAAGGAAAAAGUUAGGAAGGAGUGAAAGGUUAGAACACUGCUUAGGAAAACUGCUGGGACUUUGUGAUUUUAAAUUAUGCUUUAACACUCUGGAUGGUAUUGAUGAGUAAUUCAGGUUAGUUAUGAAAACACCCAAAAAAAGACUCACAGAUUAGGUUCAAUAUUGUUUGCACACACCAUCUGCUGCAUACUUCUAUUGUUAGUUUAUUUGGUAACACAAACUGGACAAGAAUGGGGACAUGUUCUUCCUUAUUGUCAUGAGAACUAUAUUUUUGAAAUACACUUCAUUUUUUCUUCCCGGUUUACAAAGACCUAACAUAACAACAAACCCCAUUUAUGUUCAGGGGAAUAUUCAUAAACUUAGUUAAGAAAGUGCAUAACAAGACAGAGCCUUAAAUAUUUAUUUUUUAACAUUACCAGUGACAUUAAUUAUUUGUGGUUUUAGCUAUGAAGUCCCACUCCAGCAUGUACUGAGCAAGAGCAAUGCCUUGAAAAAUUCACAAUCAGAAAGACAGACCCUAGGGAAUGGGAUUUACCAAGUCAAGUGAAUCUCUGAUAAAUUUCAGAUGUUGCACAAGGUCAACAAUUGCUUGUCAUGGGCACACAGACUCUUACUGAGGGAGUCUCUGCCCCAUGGAGUUUAUUAGGGACAGGGCACAGAAGGAAGGGGAAUUUUGAUGUGGGAGAGCUGAACUAUCCCUGCACACAGCACAAAGCUCUGGUGACAGAAUCAGUGUGAGAGGAGAUCCUAUGACAGAGCAGGUGUACACUACUCAAGGUGAUUCCUCUUGUUUACAGAACAAAUGAACAAAAUUGUUUUUCAGUUGUGCUUUUGCUCACAGUGCCAACACUGCUCUGACCCUCACUAAACCCUCCACACAAUUCCCAAAAUCAAAGCUCCCCAGUGCCUUAACUUUCAGCUGCUUCUCCAUUUCUUCAGUCUCCAUUUCUGCAGUGUUUCUUGCUGUUCCUCUCGCACAUGCAGAGCUCAACCAUCUGCUCCUCAUGGCCUGAUAUUUUACACACAUGCCCCCACCCUGAAAAAUCCCUUGGGUCACAUGAUUCACCAUCUAUUCAAACCUUGCCAUGUGCCUGGUUUUUUGUGUAGUUGCUCCUUCUGAUGUAAAUCCCUUGUUCCAUAAGGGCUCUCAAUUGCCUUUUUCACUGAAGGCAAGGUGGCUGUGACACCUGCCAAUCUCUGAGACGUUUAACCCAACCUAAAAUAUUAUUACAUCGUUGUUUGGCUGAGUAGGAACCAUAUUUUUUUCCCAGUGGGAAGUGCUGCCAGAAAGGCAUUAACUUUCCAGACUAUUAAGUAGUAUGGAAAAAUUAUAUUUCAAUAAGAAAAUUUCCUUUCUGCCUUUUCAUGCCUUAGAAAUAAUUCCUGUUUCACUUGGCUCAAGUAGCCCCUGCACUAAAUCAGUGCAGAAAUCUUUGGGUAAACUCUAAGUAAAAUCUGUCCAAGUGCUACCAGGGAGUUCAGAGGGUUGGGAAAGAAAACAGGACAAGGGUCUGCAAGGGGAGGUAUGAGACAAAUUAAGACACACAAUUCAGCAAAAUCAGGCAGAGAAUAUUCAGGCAAUCUAAUGUAGUUUGGACAAACUUUAUUAAUAAACCAACACUCAUGACUACCUGGUGAACAGUUAUUUAUAGGGAACACAAACUGUAUCUUGGCUAUUUUCUCUGGUAUUCUUUAAAUCGGGGGUGCCAACUGUGUGGGCCAAAUAUGGCCUACCUGAUACAUACAUGGCCAAUGUGCUGUGUUUUGAAUUUCAUCUUUCAUUAGAAAUUGAGUUCUUCACUUUGCAGCUGUGGGGGAAAACCACCCCAAUUUACAAACCUGGAGUAAAUUAACGUGGUGACAUCUCAUCCUGAUACAGUAGGUGCUUAUAGGCAGUUUCAAGUUUCUGUUCCUCACUAAAGCUGAACUCUCAAGCCAAAUUCUGUUGUGAAAAAUGGGUAACACAAGGUUAGGAUCAUCCUAUGCUUUUCUGGAACAUCGAACACAAUGAGUGACCUCUAGAAAACAUGAAAUGAACAGGUGAGUGUCUGCCAACACCUCCACAGCUCUGCCCCCACGGAUCUGGGGAUGUGAAUCCCAGAUGUGCUGGCAUGGCUUCCCUGAGCCACGGGCAGGAAUUUGUCACCACAGGCUGGCAGAGCUUUCACAGCAAUGCUGGAUCUCAUCCCCUGCCUCUGUGCUGGGAAGGCAAUCUGGGGGUUUGGUGUAGAGAGGGAGAUCCAGAACACAUCAUUUCAGGUGACACCUGCAGUUGUGUUUGCCUUGGGAGCUGGGCUUGGUUUUGUCAUGGGAACAGGCAGAAGCAGCAGGUUCAGGAGUGAGGCACAGCCUUGCUCGUGGCUGACAGAGAUCAGGGUUCUGCUACAGUUCUCUGUGAAAUUAGUCACCAUCAGAUGAUCUUCUGCAUCCAGAU